rnacentral:rRNA from 1 species
UACGGGGGGGGCAAGCGUUGUUCGGAAUUACUGGCGUAAAGGGCUCGUAGGUGGCCAACUAAGUCGGACGUGAAAUCCCUCAGCUUAACUGGGGAACUGCGUCCGAUACUGGAUGGCUUGAGUUUGGGAGAGGGAUGCGGAAUUCCAGGUGUAGCGGUGAAAUGCGUAGAUAUCAGGAGGAACACCGGUGGCGAAGGCGGGUCUCUGGGCAGUAACUGACGCUGAGGAGCGAAAGCGUGGGGAGCGAACAGG